rnacentral:snRNA from 1 species
UCUCCUUCUCGGCCUUUUGGCUAAGAUCAAGUGUAGUAUCUGUUCUUAUCAGUCUAUCCUUCUCUCAUUCCCCCUUU